GAUGAAGAACGUAGCGAAAUGCGAUACGUAAUGUGAAUUGCAGAAUUCAGUGAAUCAUCGAAUCUUUGGACGCAUAUUGCGCUCUCUGGUAUUCCGGAGAGCAUGCUUGUUUGAGUAUCAGUAAACACCUCAACUUCCAUAUCUUUUUUGAAAUGGGAGUUGGACUUGAGUGAUCCCAACGCUUUUCCUCACCGAAAAGUGGCGGGUUACUUGAAAUGCAGGUGCAGCUGGACUUUUCUCUGAGCUAUAAGCAUAUCUAUUUAGUCUGCCUAAAAAACAGAUUAUUACCUUUGCUGCAGCUAACAUAAAGGAGAUUAGUUCUUGUGCUGACUGAUGCAGGAUUCACAAAGACGGCUUCGGCCGACUUUGUAAACUCGAUCUCAAAUCAAGUAAGACUACCCUCUGAACUUAAGCAUAUCAAUAAGCGGAGGA
rnacentral:misc_RNA from 1 species